CCUACGGGAGGCAGCAGUGAGGAAUAUUGGUCAAUGGACGAGAGUCUGAACCAGCCAAGUAGCGUGAAGGAUGACUGCCCUAUGGGUUGUAAACUUCUUUUAUAUGGGAAUAAAAUGUUCCACGUUUGGGAUUUUGUAUGUACCAUAUGAAUAAGGAUCGGCUAACUCCGUGCCAGCAGACGCGUGAAGACGGAUGAUCCGAGCGUUAUCCGGAUUUCUUGGGUUUAAAGGGAGCGUAGGUGGAUUGUUAAGUCAGUUGUGAAAGUUUGCGGCUCAACCGGAAAAUUGCAGUUGAAACUGGCAGUGUUGAGUACAGUAGAGGUGGGCGGAAUUCGUGGUGUAGCGGUGAAAUGCUUAGAUAUCACGAAGAACUCCGAUUGCGAAGGCAGCUCACUGGACUGCAACUGACACUGAGGCUCGAAAGUGUGGGUAUCAAACAGGAUUAGAUACCCUUGUAGUC
rnacentral:rRNA from 1 species